GAAAAAAAUAAUGUAAUUUGCCUCGAUGUGAUUCAUGCCGAUGUAAUAAAAACAGAUGUAAACGGGAUUUUUAGAUGUACAAUCACAUCGGUUUGGUGAUAAAUUACAUCUUCCUUGAGAUUACACAAAAGCGAAAUCUCGAUAUCGCAUUCCGUUGUACCUGUGUGAUAUUUGCAUUGAAAAUAUGUGAAUAUUACACCGAAAUAGCUGCAACCAACUGGUUGCGACAAAGUUGUGUAAAAACACACACAUUGAUGUCAUAUCGCAUUCGAUAAGAAUGCGGUAUUAAAUCUCGCAACACUGUUGUGUUGUUGUGAUCACGAUGAUCACGAUCGCUUGCAAGUAAGCUGCCAUUUUUAAUUCUCUGGUACUUGACGAGCUUCGAGACUGUUGGCUGCUGUUUUUUCUACGAUUUUGAUUGAUUUUGGCAUAGCGACCGUUCCUGAACGGGAAAUGCUCGGUCGGAGUGGACGAGCAGUCGUUGAAAUCGUCGCGGCUAGACGGAAUCCCUACCGUACCGGACACAUACACGGAGAUUGACCAGAUUGACGCCGUGCCAACCAGACUCACCAGACUAGCAAAAGAUGCCCCAAACGCAGCAACUGUGUUCCGGUCGAAUGCGCAAGCGGAAUUGCUCUUUGGUUUUGGAAUCGAUUAUUCUUUCGUUCGAAGUCGCACUGGUUGAGCAAAGGAAGUCACGACGCAGUCGUUAAAAUCAAAGCUAAACGCAAUCCCUAUCGAACCAGACAAACAGGAUACGGACACGGAGAUUAAGAAUCCGCCGCGCCAACCAGAUUAGUAAAAGAUGUCCCAAACACAGCCACAACUGUGCUCCGACCGAAUGCGCAAGCGGCGGAAAUUUUGUUUUUUUGAAUUGCUGUUUGAUUUUGGAAUCGGUAGGUCGUUCGUUAGAAGGCGCACUAGAUGAGCGGAGGAAGUCACAAUUUAGCUUUCGGUGUUAACGGGCGAUGCGACUUGAAUCUUUUUGAUGGCAGAAAUCGGCAGCAGUAAAGCUAUUUCGCUUUGUCAAAGUUUGGAGCUGCUUGGGGAACUUGGAAGCACGGGCUCACAAGUCAUGAGUGUCCGUAGAUAUACAGAGGCGGAUCGGUUACAGUUGUACCUGCUGGUGGAGCAGAGGAACCGGAUUCGGAUAUAUGAUUGACUGGCCACCGGAAGUGAAGCAGAAAAUUGAAAAAAUGACGACGCCGCUGUCUUCAAGCGGUACUUCAUUCACCGCUGCCGUCAGAAUGUUCGCCCCAGCUACUUUGUGCCCGCAGAAGCAACUUGAAUUAUUAUAUAAUAAUCAUUCUUAUAAGUUAAUCACAUUUUAUAAACAAAAUACUACAAUACAAAUAAAAUUUCCCUCUACAAUAUA